UGGGGAAUAUUGGACAAUGGGGGAAACCCUGAUCCAGCAAUGCCGCGUGAGUGAAGAAGGCCCUAGGGUUGUAAAGCUCUUUCACUGAUGAAGAUGAUGACGGUAAUCAGAGAAGAAGCCCCGGCUAACUCCGUGCCAGCAGCCGCGGUAAUACGGAGGGGGCUAGCGUUGUUCGGAAUUACUGGGCGUAAAGCGCACGUAGGCGGCGUAUCUAGUCAGGGGUGAAAGGCCUGGGCUCAACCCGGGAACUGCCUUUGAUACUGGUACGCUUGAGUUCGGGAGAGGGUAGUGGAAUUCCCAGUGUAGAGGUGAAAUUCGUAGAUAUUGGGAAGAACACCGGUGGCGAAGGC
rnacentral:rRNA from 1 species